AAAACUAUUCAAUCUCUUCUGGUUGAGCUGAUCCCUCAUGCCGGCUCGUAGGUGGCUCCUGACUCAAUUUACUGUUCACAAUGGACUCAUGGCUUUAGUAACCAAUUUAGAAGUUGCAUUUGGCUUCGUGCAACCCGUAAUUAUACGUUGGCUUAUGUUGGGCUUCGUGGUCAGUGUGUUGAGCCGUUGUUUUUUAUUUACCUCGUGUGAAAUAUUUGAAUUAUCCCGCCAACUCCUGACCUCCAAAUAUGUUUGGGUUGGACAUUGUGUGACCUCACUUGCUUCCCUUCAUUGCCAACCUGGUAUGAGGCACAUAGUGAGUAAUGCUCAUUAAUGAGCAUCCUCAGAUACCGAAGAUGGUUUCCAUGGAUGAAGGGACAUUCAUUUCUUUAUUUUGGUUCAGGUGACAAAUGUCUUCUCGAAGGAUUCUUUAGGAAUAGUCAACUCCUUGUAUUGAGUGUGCUUUCUCUAACACCAGAUUUAAGGUAUAAUAUGUAUCGUUCAUGUAUUCCCCCUUGGUUCAUGCAAUUGAUGGGUUUUUUUCAUAGUGGCUGCUUCAAGAUCAGCCAUAUAUCAUUGUUUCGUGUUCUUCAGGAAUAGAGGGUGAAGAUUAUGGCAAGGCUAAAGGAUGUCAAAGUGCGAGAGAGGAUUUUGCGGCGUCUUGAUAUGCGGAGGUAUUUUUUGAUGACUGGUUUCACAGUUCGAAGUGAUGGUCAAGGAGUGCAUGAAUGCUUUCUGUUUGGACAGGAGACAGUGAUAUGCAAGUCUUGGGAGCCAUUCCCAGAGUUGCUGAUGACGUUGCAUGUCUGUGCGACCCUGAUGCUUAGUUAGUGGAUGUAUGCAGUGUUCUUAAGUCAUUCAGUCGGCCAUCGAUGGAAGCAUUGAGAGUUUAAUCUACGACAGAACUUUCGUUCAUAAAAGAACAACCAGAAGGUGAUCACCUCGAAAUGUUGGCCAUCCGUGGAUGAAGGAAGUUGCUAAUCUGAUGGCUUUAGGAAAAUGGUGCAUCUCUUUCCGGCUCCAGCUAGGACAAGUGGAUGACAUGCUCACUACAAAUAGUUAGCAUGAUAACGUUUUUUUAUUAGUUCUGAGUAAUCUUUAUAUGAAAAAAUUUGUAAAUCUCUUAUCAUGUAGAUUAUAAAUACAAAUUGAAUGAAAUUCGUUUUGAUGCGCUUAUUUAUAAUUAGAAUGAAUUUUGUGAUCUUUCUCACA